GCCUGUCGCUCCUACCGAUUGGACGUUUUGGUGAAAAUACUGGACUUUAAUUUAAAGGAAGGUAUUUAAAUCAGCUCGUCUAGAGGAAGGAGAAAUCGCAACAAGGUAACGGUAGGUGAACCUGCCGUUGGAUCAGU
rnacentral:rRNA from 1 species